rnacentral:rRNA from 1 species
AUUGAACGCUGGCGGCAUGCCUUACACAUGCAAGUCGAACGGUAACAGGUCUUCGGAUGCUGACGAGUGGCGAACGGGUGAGUAAUGCAUCGGAACGUGCCCAGUAGUGGGGGAUAGCCCGGCGAAAGCCGGAUUAAUACCGCAUACGACCUGAGGGUGAAAGGGGGGGAUCGCAAGACCUCUCGCUAUUGGAGCGGCCGAUGUCAGAUUAGCUAGUUGGUGGGGUAAAGGCCUACCAAGGCAACGAUCUGUAGUUGGUCUGAGAGGACGACCAGCCACACUGGGACUGAGACACGGCCCAGACUCCUACGGGAGGCAGCAGUGGGGAAUUUUGGACAAUGGGCGCAAGCCUGAUCCAGCAAUGCCGCGUGCAGGAAGAAGGCCUUCGGGUUGUAAACUGCUUUUGUCAGGGAAGAAAUCUUCUGGGUUAAUACCUCGGGAGGAUGACGGUACCUGAAGAAUAAGCACCGGCUAACUACGUGCCAGCAGCCGCCGCCGUAA